rnacentral:rRNA from 1 species
GAUGAACGCUGGCUGCGUGCCUAAUACAUGCAAGUCGAGCGAACGGACGAGAAGCUUGCUUCUCUGAUGUUAGCGGCGGACGGGUGAGUAACACGUGGAUAACCUACCUAUAAGACUGGGAUAACUUCGGGAAACCGGAGCUAAUACCGGAUAAUAUUUUGAACCGCAUGGUUCAAAAGUGAAAGACGGUCUUGCUGUCACUUAUAGAUGGAUCCGCGCUGCAUUAGCUAGUUGGUAAGGUAACGGCUUACCAAGGCAACGAUGCAUAGCCGACCUGAGAGGGUGAUCGGCCACACUGGAACUGAGACACGGUCCAGACUCCUACGGGAGGCAGCAGUAGGGAAUCUUCCGCAAUGGGCGAAAGCCUGACGGAGCAACGCCGCGUGAGUGAUGAAGGUCUUCGGAUCGUAAAACUCUGUUAUUAGGGAAGAACAUAUGUGUAAGUAACUGUGCACAUCUUGACGGUACCUAAUCAGAAAGCCACGGCUAACUACGUGCCAGCAGCCGCGGUAAUACGUAGGUGGCAAGCGUUAUCCGGAAUUAUUGGGCGUAAAGCGCGCGUAGGCGGUUUUUUAAGUCUGAUGUGAAAGCCCGCGGCUCAACCGUGGAGGGUCAUUGGAAACUGGAAAACUUGAGUGCAGAAGAGGAAAGUGGAAUUCCAUGUGUAGCGGUGAAAUGCGCAGAGAUAUGGAGGAACACCAGUGGCGAAGGCGACUUUCUGGUCUGUAACUGACGCUGAUGUGCGAAAGCGUGGGGAUCAAACAGGAUUAGAUACCCUGGUAGUCCACGCCGUAAACGAUGAGUGCUAAGUGUUAGGGGGUUUCCGCCCCUUAGUGCUGCAGCUAACGCAUUAAGCACUCCGCCUGGGGAGUACGACCGCAAGGUUGAAACUCAAAGGAAUUGACGGGGACCCGCACAAGCGGUGGAGCAUGUGGUUUAAUUCGAAGCAACGCGAAGAACCUUACCAAAUCUUGACAUCCUUUGACAACUCUAGAGAUAGAGCCUUCCCCUUCGGGGGACAAAGUGACAGGUGGUGCAUGGUUGUCGUCAGCUCGUGUCGUGAGAUGUUGGGUUAAGUCCCGCAACGAGCGCAACCCUUAAGCUUAGUUGCCAUCAUUAAGUUGGGCACUCUAAGUUGACUGCCGGUGACAAACCGGAGGAAGGUGGGGAUGACGUCAAAUCAUCAUGCCCCUUAUGAUUUGGGCUACACACGUGCUACAAUGGACAAUACAAAGGGCAGCGAAACCGCGAGGUCAAGCAAAUCCCAUAAAGUUGUUCUCAGUUCGGAUUGUAGUCUGCAACUCGACUACAUGAAGCUGGAAUCGCUAGUAAUCGUAGAUCAGCAUGCUACGGUGAAUACGUUCCCGGGUCU